rnacentral:rRNA from 1 species
UACGUAGGGAGCAAGCGUUGUCCGGAAUCAUUGGGCGUAAAGCGCGCGUAGGUGGCUUCGUAAGUCCGUUGUGAAAGUCAAAGGCUCAACCUUUGAAAGCCGAUGGAUACUGCGGAGCUAGAGUACGGAAGAGGCGAGUGGAAUUCCUGGUGUAGCGGUGGAAUGCGCAGAUAUCAAGGAGGAACACCAAUAGCGAAGGCAGCUCGCUGGGACGUUACUGACACUGAGGCGCGAAAGCGUGGGGAGCGAAACAGG